rnacentral:tRNA from 1 species
GUCCCCGUAGCUUAUAAGCCAAAAGCAUGGCUCUGAAGAUGCCAAGAAGGUUGCCCGCCACAUCCCAGGGACA